ACUACGCGAUAUAAUGAUUCCCCACCUCGGGAGCUAUAGGGAACGAAUUGAGACACAGCCCUGGAUGUAAUCACGUCUGUGCUGAUCACGUGCCUGUACACAAACCCGCAGCUCACUUGCAAAAGAUUAUCCGGUUAUUUAUUACACGUAAAGUAAACGUUUUUAAUGUUAUCAUGAAUCAAUGUUAUAGUUUUGUAUGUCACAUUAUUUUUUGAGAAGAGUCAUGACUGAACGCGGACCUUACACGCUGUUAUUUUUUUGUGUGCGUAUGGCCAAGGUACAGUGCGCUCUUUUGCACUAUGACCAGCCAUCAGUAAAUCGAAAUACAGUAAAAAAAUGAGCGCGAAACCCUGACACUUUACAGAAAGGCACGGAUAUCCCCGCCCGAAGAAAAAAAGAACACAGGACAAUGGUUGCAAGUUAAACAGCUGAACAUUUCACCAUCUGCAAAGAACAUUUCACCAUCAACAUAUUAACAUAAACGGUUCUCUUUUUCUUGUUUGACUGCGUUUGGUACAGGUCACAACAACGACGGCAGAUGUAGAGACCACGCUUUCCCUUGCUUCCACUCCACGGCUGAUCAUGCUUGAGGAUCCAGAUCUACAAAACAAAAAAUGGAUGCUGCCGAUUGAAGGCUAAGUCCGAUUUCCUGCGAUUGACCUACCAUUUCUUCAGCAUUUGCUGUUCACUUUGGUUGCUACUACGUGCUCAACAUCGAGUACCAUGUGCAAGCAGCCACUACUUUGGAGUUUAUUCAGAGAUUUAUUGUGAGGAUCAGCCCCGACAACAGCAAGUGCUCCUCUAACUUCCAGGUGAGCAAAAGAAGUGGGAAGAUGGUGCAAAGGAAGAACUCUGGCCUGAACCAUCAUGUAUAUAUCCACCUUUAUUAAGGACUUUAUGAAUUAAGCAAAACUAUUAAGCAACUAAAGCAAAUACAUUCUACUCAACUCACCAGAGCGGAGUUUAUCGGAAGUUCAUGCGGACCGCGACAGCCGCUUGUUUAUGAUGUUACUGCUGAAACCGUCUAUAGUUAUAACUGAAUUUGUACUAGUAUUAUUUGAUAAUACUGUGAAAUGAAACAGUGAGUAAAUGUUACAUUGGCUUUGAAAAAGCUGUUGCUGCAAGAAAUUACAAUUUACUCAGAAUAAUAUUUUGAAUGUAUAAGUUUUUGACAUUGCUUAUGACUGCAUUUGAAUGUAUUGUUCAUGAAUUGAUGCUGUGAUAUGUGUGUGUAAAUGUUUUGUAUUUUACUCAGGAAAGUAUUUUGUAUUUGAACAUUGUUAUUAUGACUGAGUUAGUUCAUGACUUGAUUUAAAAUUCUGUAAUAUGAUAUCUAUGAGUAAAUGUUAUUGCAGGUUUAAGAAAAACAGUUUGUGAUGCAAGCUGAAAGUUCAGUGUGCAAAAAAUAUGAAAAUCUGAUUUCAUGUAUUUGAAAAACUAAAAGAAAUUUUAAAAA